rnacentral:rRNA from 1 species
UACGAAGGGGGCAAGCGUUGUUCGGAAUUACUGGGCGUAAAGCGCACGUAGGCGGAUUUGUAAGUCAGGGGUGAAAUCCCAGAGCUCAACUCUGGAACUGCCUUUGAUACUGUCGAUCUGGAGUAUGGAAGAGGUGAGUAGAAUUCCGAGUGUAGAGGUGAAAUUCGUAGAUAUUCGGAGGAACACCAGUGGCGAAGGCGGCUCACUGGUCCAUUACUGACGCUGAGGUGCGAAAGCGUGGGGAGCAAACAGG